ensembl:lncRNA
AUGGAGGAACGGUUUCUACAGUUUAUUUCUCCAAGUAAGUCUCGGCCGCCAUUUUAUUUUGUGCACAGAUUGGUGGAUGUUCCCACGAAAGAGUUGGGAAUGAAAAAAAGAAGACGACGACGAAGAAGAGAAGCUUUUCCUACUGGGUUUCAGUUGCUAUGGUUUUGUUCCACUUCCUCAGGUUCAGUGGCUGCGUGGAAACAAUCCUCAGUUCAUUUUGCCUUUGCUCCCCUCCCCUCCCCUCCCCUCCCCUCCCCUCCCCUCCCCUCCCCUCCCCUCCCCUCCCCUCCCCUCCCCUUCCUUCCCUCCUUCCUCUCCUCUUUUCCCCUCCCCUCCCCUCUCCUUCUUUCCCUCCUUCCUCUCCUCUCCUCUCUCCUCCCCUCCCCUCCCCUCCCCUCCCCUUCCUUCCCUCCUUCCUCUCCUCUCCUCUCCUCUCUCCUCCCCUCCCCUCCCCUCCCCUCCCCUCCCCUUCCUUCCCUCCUUCCUCUCCUCUCCUCUCCUCUCUCCUCCCCUCCCCUCUCCUUCUUUCCCUCCUUCCUCUCCUCUCCUCUCCUCUCUUCUCUCCUCCCCUCCCCUCCCCUCCCCUCCCCUUCCUUCCUCUCCUCUCUCCUCCCCUCCCCUCCCCUCCCCUCCCCUCCCCUCCCCUCCCCUCCCCUUCCUUCCCUCCUUCCUCUCCUCUCCUCUCCUCUCCUCUCCUCUCUUCUCUCCUCCCCUCCCCUCCCCUCUCCUUCUUUCCCUCCUUCCUCUCCUCUCUCCUCCCCUCCCCUCCCCUCCCCUCUCCUUCUUUCCCUCCUUCCUCUCCUCUCUUCUCUCCUCCCCUCCCCUCUCCUUCUUUCCCUCCUUCCUCUCCUCUCUUCUCUCCUCCCCUCCCCUCCCCUUCCUUCCCUCCUUCCUCUCCUCUCCUCUCCUCUCCUCUCUCCUCCCCUCCCCUCCCCUCCCCUCCCCUUCCUUCCCUCCUUCCUCUCCUCUCCUCUCCUCUCUUCUCUCCUCCCCUCCCCUCCCCUCUCCUUCUUUCCCUCCUUCCUCUCCUCUCUUCUCUCCUCCCCUCCCCUCCCCUCCCCUCCCCUUCCUUCCCUCCUUCCUCUCCUCUCCUCUCUCCUCCCCUCCCCGCCCCUCCCCUCCCCUCCCCUCCCCUCUCCUUCUUUCCCUCCUUCCUCUCCUCUCCUCUUUUCUUUUCUUUUCUUUUCUUUUCUUUUCUUUUCUUUUCUUUUCUUUUCUUUUCUUUUCUCUCAUUCUUUCUUUCCUUUUGCAUAA